rnacentral:rRNA from 1 species
GAUUCGCCCUUGGGUUCGAUUCCGGAGAGGGAGCCUGAGAAACGGCUACCACAUCUAAGGAUGGCAGCAGAGGCGUAAAUUACCCAAUCCUGACUCAGGGAGGUAGUGACAAGAAAUAACGAACCGUGACAUUGUUACGGGAUUGCAAUGAACCGAUUUUUUUUCCCUUGGUGAGGAGCAAUUGGAGGGCAAGUCUGGUGCCAGCAGCCGCGGUAAUUCCAGCUCCAAUAGCAUAUAUUAAUGUUGUUGCAGUUAAAAAGCUCGUAGUUGGAUUUCUGCAGGAGUGCCAAUGUCCGCCCACGUGCGUGUGCAGCGGCGCCCCUGCAUCCUUCGGUUACCUCCGCUCGGCAUUCACUCGCCGGCGGUAGGCUCCGAAUAUUUACCUUGAGAAAAUUAGAGUGUUUCAGGCAGGCUAAGCCGGAAUACAUUAGCAUGGAAUAAUAGAAUAGGACUACGGUCUCGUUGUUGGUUUGAGGGACUGGAGUAAUGAUUAAUAGGGAUAGUUGGGGGCAUUAGUAUUUAAUUGUCAGAGGUGAAAUUCUCAGAUUAACUAAAGACUAACUUAUGCGAAAGCAUUUGCCAAGGAUGUUUUCAUUAAUCAAGAACGAAAGUUAGGGGAUCAAAGACGAUCAGAUACCGUCCUAGUCUUAACCAUAAACUAUGCCAACUCGGGAUCGGGGGCGUGUAAUUAUCCGCCUUCGGCACCGUAUGAGAAAUCAAAGUCUUUGGGUUCUGGGGGGGAGUAUGGUCGCAAGGUUGAAACUUAAAGGAAUUGACGGAAGGGCACCACCAGGCGUGGAGCUUGCGGCUCAAUUUGACUCAACACGGAA